rnacentral:rRNA from 1 species
ACGGAAGGCAGCAGUGGGGGAUAUUGGUCAAUGGGGGAAACCCUGAACCAGCGACGCCGCGUGAGUGAAGAAGUAUUUCGGUAUGUAAAGCUCUAUCAGCAGGGAAGAAAAAAUCAAAAUUGACAGUACCUGACUAAGAAGCCCCGGCUAACUACGUGCCAGCAGCCGCGGUAAUACGUAGGGGGCAAGCGUUAUCCGGAUUUACUGGGUGUAAAGGGAGUGUAGGCGGCGAAGCAAGUCAGAUGUGAAAACCCGGGGCUCAACUCCGGGACUGCAUUUGAAACUGUUUUGCUAGAGUGUCGGAGAGGUCAGUGGAAUUCCUAGUGUAGCGGUGAAAUGCGUAGAUAUUAGGAAGAACACCGGUGGCGAAGGCGGCUGACUGGACGACAACUGACGCUGAGGCUCGAAAGCGUGGGGAGCAAACAGGAUUAGAUACCCUGGUA